AAUAUUGCUCAUUGGAGGGAACUCUGUCGCCACGACGCCGCGUGAGCGAUGAAGGUCUUCGAUUCGUAAAGCUCUUCCUAUGGAGAAAAAGGUCUUCGGACUUGACGGUACCUAUUCAGGAAGCCCCGGCUAUCUACGUUCCAGCAGCCGCGGUAAUACGUAGGGGGCAAGCGUUGUCCGGAAAUAUUGGGCGUAAAGGGUGCGUAGGCGGACUUUUAAGUCAGAUGUGAAAGCCCACGGCGUAACCGUGGGACUGCAUUUGAAACUGGAGGGCUUGAGUAUCGGAGAGGGUAGUGGAAUUCCAAGUGUAGCGGUGGAAUGCGUAGAUAUUGGGAGGAACACCAGUGGCGAAGGCGACUACCUGGACGAAAACUGACGCUGAGGCACGAAAGCUAGGGGAGCAAAC
rnacentral:rRNA from 1 species